rnacentral:lncRNA from 1 species
UGGAAGAGGAAAAUGAGAGGGAUGGAACCCAGUUUAAUUUGUUGCUGUACGUGCAUUCAUGAAAGAGACUUGAAUUACAUUUUGUCACCAUUCAUAAUAGUUGUUCAAUGCAGACUUAUCUCUCCUGCAAUUUUGAUGAUCAGAGAGUUGACCAUCGUCAAUCAACAGCAACAAGAGACAAGGAAGCUUGCAUUAUAUUGGCUUUUCUUUUCGGGCGCGUUUAUUAUGGACCAGUUUUUUCUGGUCCAUGGUUGCACCACCUGCUUUUUACCUUCUACUGCAGGUUUAGCAGG